AACGUAGGACGCAAGCGUUAUCCGGAGUUACUGGGCGUAAAGGGCAGGCAGGCGGGUCGAUAAGUCGGAUGUGAAAUCUCCCUGGCUUAACCGGGAGAGUGCAUUUGAGACUGUCAACCUGGAGGGCAGCAGAGAGCGUGGAAUUCCGGGUGGAGUGGUGAAAUGCGUAGAGAUCCGGAGGAACACCAGAGGCGAAAGCGGCGCUCUGGGCUGCACCUGACGCUGAACUGCGAAAGCCAGGGGAGCGAACGGG
rnacentral:rRNA from 1 species